UCAGACUGUAAAGACAACACUUCUUUAUUGAAGGCAGAGACGAACAUUUUACAUUCAGCCUCAGAAGACAAAGGUGCAACCCAACCCUCCGCUGUACAGCUCUCAGGACCAGAGCCUGUCUUCUCCAGACUACAAGAUGAGAACUGCAGUAUGUGCCAUCCUUCUCCUGAUGCUUCUGUGUCAAGGAGAAGCUCUGAGAUGCAAAAAAGUAUUUGCAGAUGGGAGUUUGAAAGAAACCUGUGAAGGAAGAAAUGAUGUGUGUGCUGCGAUCGUGUCCAAAGUCGCCUCAUUUCGUGGAUGCAUGAGCUGGUCUGAGUGCCGAAAAUUUCCGUGGCCAACUUACAAAACAACAUGCUGUGACACCGACCUCUGCAACUGAGCCUCUCCAUCACCGGCUGGACCAUCAUCUCUGAUCUCUGGAAGAUUCUCUGUUGGAUCCACUCUGUUGCAUUCAGAUGAAAGUGUGUUGGAGUUGUUCUAAUAAAAGGAAAAUGAAAU